CACUGUUUGAUCACUCACCUGCCGCUGAUUGGCAGGCGGACCACACCUGCUGCCAAUCAGCCUGUCCUAAUCACGCCUCGUCUCGAGCACUCCUCAGUGCUCCAAGGUCACUUUGUGUGAGGAACUAGCAUGGCUGCAGGUUUCGAGACCACCAAGAUGCAGGAACCGGCGAACAACGAGAAGUGAAUCACCUGAGACAGAUAUUUGCGUCUGCAUUGGACGUGUUGCCAUGACGACCUGCUGGCAAAAGUAACUAAAACGUGGGAAGAGCCGACAGCAGAAUCUCUUCAGAGGUCGAAGAUGGAAGCUCGCCGUCAUGAUGGUAGAAAAGCGCUAUAGAAAUUGUGGAGGAGGACGUGGUCGGCGUGGCUCCCGUAGGAAUUGGGUGUGUACGGCCGGCCUUGAAGCCAGCGACAGCAGCAGCCGGACCGAGACACGACACGUUGGAGUGGGAGCAGAGAGACUCACAAAUAGAAACUGAGAGCGGAAGCACAGACUGCUGGAAAGCAAGCCUUCCCCGUGUGUUGAUGUCAAUAAAAGACUUGACUCAACCUGUCUACUGUGCUCCCGAAGAUCUGUCGACAUCAGGAGAACCCACUACCUGCAGAGACGUUUACACAAGUAUAACCCAUUUACCAUUUUUACCAAAAGAUAUGGAUUUUUUUUUGUCAAAAUUAGUAUAGUAAAACAAUAAAA